UAAUUUUUAUAUGAAACAAGAUAAAUAACACAAAUUACUUACUUAAUUUUCUCAAUUAUGCAUUCUCAGAAUAUUUAUUAUUAUUUCAAUUGCAAUUAUUAUUUCAAUUGCAGGAUUGUCGUUUUCUUUUUUUCAUUUAAAGAAGGAAGAAAAUUUACCGAUUUGAAAAUUCUCCUUGAAAUCUUGGAAUUCAGCUCGAAUUUACCUCGAAUUUCAGAGGACGAACGGUAGCCCACAGCAUGGUAUCGAAACGAUAUCGAAACCCAUUCACGUAUAGUUUCUCUCACGGGAUCGGGGGCUUUCCAUCAGUCCCACGCGGACACCGAUGCAAAUCGUAGCACGAACGGUGCAAGGAAGAUGAUACAAAGUGGCCGUAAAAAUUCCUAUCGCACUCGAGAGAUAAUGGAGGGUUGUAUAUCCAAGGCAAAAUCGAUCUCCCUCCCGAGAAUUGAAUUCUUACCAAGAUUCCGCUAUUACUCCUAUUUUGAAAAUCUUUAAAAUCUAGAAGAUAGAUAGAAAAGAAGAAGGAAAGUAAAAUUUCUUUUAUUAUAAAAGAGAAUUUAUUUUUAAUUAUUUCAAGUUACAUUCUUCUUGAUUUAUGAAAUACUUGUGAAUAAUAUUAAUAUCGGUUAUAUACAAAGAAAUGUUGAACGAUUGCAAAGAAGGAUGAGAAGAAAGGGAUUUAUUUUCUCAGAAAAUUCUCGAAUUGCUUAAACGAUUGCCAUGGAACGUAAGGCAUGCCAUCGAUCUUCCUGAAGACACGGAUCGAUCAAACGAGCAACCAAUGGCCGUGAAAGGACGACACGCGACACGAAUUCGUAAACUUGUUCCUACACUUUCCUCCUCUUUGCUCGUAGCCUUUGCUUCGUGGUUAAUUAGCAAACCAAAUUGUAACUUUGGCCGGGAAUCGUCGCUCCUCCACCAGCGAAAAUCCGACUUUUAUUACUCUAACCGCGUUCUAAGUGUAAAUUAUGAAAUCCUAGGAGGAGGAGAUUCCAAGAUUCUCCACCUCUAUGAUCAUAAACCUUCCGUCGCUUAUAGAAUUUCUAAUUCGUUCGUCGAUUUGAUCAGAAACUAAUUUCAGAAAGCUUGCAGAAUUUUGUACUUGGAAAUUACUUACAAUCUUAUCUUUAUACAUUAUAUAUAAAGCAUUGAACUAGCAUUGAAUAAUUAUAUUUGUGAGUGUGGUUCUAAAUAUCAAGAUUCAAUUUUAUGACUAGUUAUGAAAGUUAUCAAAGGAUGAAAUUUUAAAUUAAAUAUUAUUUUCAUGCAUAACUAUCUUUGACGACAUUUUAAAAAGAAAAUUGUUAAGAAGCGAGGAAAAAAUCGUAUCGACUAAAAUUCAGUCGCUCAAACGAGCUGUCUACCCUUCAGUAUCGAGGGGUGAGAAUAUGUGUGAGGAGCGCGGAUCUCUUUGCCAUCAGAUUGCUAUGAACUAAUUUAGCCCCUAUCCAAUCUUGACGGGGCUCGCUGGUGCGUUCCGCGCCGUUUUUAGAUUUAACCUACCCAAAUAUGCAAAUUGCAGCCGGAGCGCAUAGCCGCCCGAGGAAGAUUCCUCGAGGAGAAUGGCCGAUUCGAAGAGGGGAGUGGGGUGCAUAAUCCUCGCCCAUGGGAGAUUGUGGGCGGCCGAAAUGAAAGAGCAAAAAGGAUCUUUGCCGGGGAGCGAGUGUACGCGCGGAGAACGAGAAUACGUGAGAUAGAGGAGGAGAAAGGAGGCAGCGCGAAUUGGAAGUGGAAGAAGGAUGGAGAGGGAGGAGAGGAGGGAGGGAGGGAGGGAGAGGAUCCAUUUGGAUCUCGCAUCGAAUGCACACGUGCGUAACGGUGUUCCACGAUCAAGAAAAGUCGAGGAAAAUGAGAAGUUGUGACUGUUCGGAAUCCUGGUAUCAAGUCGUGGCUAUUGUAUUCGAAUUUUCUUUAUGGAUAUGGAUAUGGAAAGCUUUGAAUUCUUUAUUGUGAGGAUUGUGAUAGAAAUUGUGAAGAUUUAGGAGUUCAAACGAAGAAAGGAUGUGCAAGGAGAAAAUUGAACGGAAAAUAGUUUCAAUUGAGAUUAAACAUAUCCUUAUUCGAUUUAAAAAAUUAUUAACUAAUUACUCGUCGUCAAUCGUAAAGCAUUCUUUCUAUAAUUUUUCUUCAAAUAUCUGCAACACGUUAUAAUCAACUAGAACAAGUGUAAAUACUCGAUUGAAUUGAUAUAGGAUAGGACAAAAGAUUGUAAAUAAUGUUUUACUAUGCAAUAA